rnacentral:lncRNA from 1 species
GAGAAAGAGAAAGAGAUCCAUCUUUCAUCUCUUGGUUCACUCUCCAAAUGCCUGCAACAGCCAGGGUUGUGCGAGGCUGAAGCCAGGAGCCAGAAACUUCAUUUGGGUCUCCUAUGCUUGUGGAAGAUACUUGCACCAUGACCUGUUGCCUCCCAGGUGCAUUAGCAGGAAGCUGGAUUAGAAGCAGAUGAGCCAGGACAGGAACUACGUGCUCCCACAUUGUAGCUUAAACCAAUGUGCCCAAGUUGACCAGUUGAUGAGCACCUAUUAAAAAUUUUCUACAGUCACUAAUGAUUUUAUGCCAAAAGUUUAGAAGUAGUCCUUGACUCAGUCUCAAUGUAGGGAUGGAAUAGAUGGGUAAAUGGAACCCAUUGUGACUAAGUAGGUAUGAGAAAUGUUCAGGGGGACAAAGCCCAGUGGCUCUGCAUAACAAAGGAAUUGGAAUUUAAGAAUGAGAUAGAAUCCAGUUAAUGGACAUGGGAGAGAGAGGGCAUUCCAGUUGGGAUCUUGGACUAACCAGAGAUGUGGAGAGCCUGUGUGCGAAUACGAAUGCACACACACACCAAUGAUCCAAUGAUGCCUCCGGCCAGGAGGGCAAAUCAGCCUCUGCUAUGAACCAGCGCUGCCCCUUGAAAAACAGCCUUCGGUGAGCAACCUCCUAAGUGGUUAAGUUUGCAGACCUUGGCCUAUCAUUUCCACUGUCAUGAAUUCUCAAUGACAUCAUCACUGUAAAAUUAGGAACUCUCUUUCUUUCCCUGCAGAUGUG